rnacentral:lncRNA from 10 species
CGCCUCUCUUCCUAAGUUUCUUGAAAUAUGUUGGCGGGAGGGGUAACAGGGCUUCAUUACGGCCGCCUCUGCCUUUUGUGUAUGUUAUUUUGUGGAUAUAGUGCUCUAGAGCAGUUUCUCAAGCUUUGAUAGUGCAUCAGAAUCAAUGGCAGGGCUCGCUGAAACAGAUUGCUGGGCCCCACACCAUGGAUUCUGUUGCAGCCAUCUAUGUGAGCCAGCUAUUGGGUGUGGGCUCCAGGCAGAGAGGCCAAGCCUCACCUUAAAAGGCCAGCUGUUCCUUAGCCAAUUGAUACCUUUUCCAUUGAAUUGUAUUUCUUAUUGACAUAUGAAAUUCAUACAGCGAGGUGUGUAAGGUGCUGAAACCUGAGUGUAUCGGUGGCUACACUUUACAUUUACACCUAUAUGCCUACCUCCCAGAUAAAAAUACAGAACAUUUUCAUCAUCUCCAAACAUACUCCUUCUACCAGAGAUAAACCUAUGCCGAUUUCCAUUGCCAUUGAUUGGUUUUCACUGGCCUUACACUUCACAUAAGUGGGACCAUACAGUGUGCACUUUUGUGUUUAGUUUCUUUUGCUUAACAUAUGUGAAGUCCAUUCAUGUUUUUGAGUGUAUCAGAAGUUAGUUCUGAUUAUUGCUCUGUAGUAAUCCAUUGUAGGAAUGUACCACAAUUUAUCUAUCUCUUAUCCUAUUGGGUUUUUUUCCAGUUUUCUGCUGGAAGUUGAUUCUAAAUGAUUUUUGCAAAAAUGCAAAUUCAGUGUUAUUUUAUAAUUUUUCAAGAAAUGCAAGACAUUCAGAUUUUUAUGUAAAAAAUUUUAAAUAUUGGACGAUAUUUAACAUUUUGAACACUGAGCAGGUCAUGUUAAACAUGGAUGUGGCCCACAAGCCACAAGUCUGAACCCUAAAACAUUUUAUCCUCACAGAUGUUUUCCUCAUGGCUGAAAUCACUCUUAUGCCCUGAUACAGAAUAAUGCCUGAGACCUGUAGCAGUGAUGGGUGCCUGCCAACAGAAAUUGCCAGAAUCUCCUUUGUUUAAGCUUAUUUAUAUUCAGCUACCUGGAAGAAUGUGGGUGUGAAACAAACCUUCUUCUCUUUACGAGGCUUGGGGAGCCCAGGUUCCCAGGCCUGUAGGAAUGAAUUGAAUAGUAUUGAUGCCUCUUAGCGUGAUGUUUGCAGACUGCAUUUGGGUCAUUGCUGUGUUAUUCAUUUGCUUGUUUAUCUUGCCAAAACAUUGGCGUUUGUGAAACAGCUUUAGAGGGCUGUGGUGGAUUAGGAAACCAUGAAAGGAAGUUGUGGCUUGUUCUCAAACAGAGAGAAAAGACUUUUCUCUUCAUUGUAAAAUUCAUAACUUAUUUACUGUCUGAUGGACUAUGUUCCAUGUCAGUUGCAUAGCAACAAAAUAAAGUUUGUCCGUUUAGGAAAGUCCGAAGAUUUCUUUUAACAUAAAGACAGGAUGCUUUCCGAACUUAUAUUUGCCUCAGCGUGCAUUCUGUCACAUGCCAAUUAUAGAACAACAUCAGGAUGACAGUUUAUUUUAGGUAAUGUAAAUGUUAGCUCAAAUGAUAGGAGGCUAUUAUUAUAUGUUUAUGUGAUGGGAAAUCUCAUCUAUUCUAAAAGAUGCAAUUUCCUGUUCUUACCCAAAUCAAACUUGAGCAAUAGGUGUCUUCUUUCCUCCCUAAUGUACUUGCCCAUUGUUGGAGGAAAGAAAAAGAUACUUUUUUAUUUUUAAAUCCAGUUAUCUGUUUGCUUUUCCACUGACAUUUUUCUGAUCUUAGAUAAUGAGUAUAAGUUCUAUUGAAAGUUUUCCAGGACCUUCUAAAAAUUAAGAAUUGUGUUACCCUGAAUGAUGCCAAAAGAAGAGCUGGAAUUCAAGGGUUGUGAAAGACGAAAGAAGAAAUCAUCUGAAAUGGAUCUGAAGAGUUCUCAGAGGAAGUGACUCAUGUUGAAGAGGAAGUGACAAAGCAGGUGGUAGUGGCGGGGAAAGAUGAAGGAGAGAACUACAACGGUAUUCCUAAGUGACGUCCAAUAGCCUAAAUUUAUCACAGUUCCAUCAGAACACCCAACUCAUUCACUGAGAGGGAUUUUAUCCAAGUGUCUGCCUACAUUUAACCCAGUUAAGACAAUUCACAUUCAAGUGUGAUCAAUAACAAAUCCAUCUAAGCUUGACCUUCUUUUCAAAGUAGGAGAUUAUUAACCAGCAAAAGUUUCAAGCUGAGUAAAUUUGGAGUAUGAUGUAGAAGGAGAACACAUAAGGCAACUUCACAGGAAGAUGUUUGAUCAUUUAGUAUCUACUGCAUUUAAAAAUAAGAUCAUUAUUUUUUAAGACAAGAACAUUAUCAACAAGAUCAAUUCUAGGCUGGUCUAAAGCAAUGAUCUCACGGUAGCUGUAAAAUAGUUGGCUGUGUCCUAUCUACUCUAGGGUCAGUUUGUGUGUCUGUGAAAUAAGGGGGCUGGACCAGGAUAGGGACAAACAUGAGCUGUGAAAAAUCAGAAAGCUAUCAUCGUGUUAUUCCUUUUCAAAUAUGACAGUAAGCACACACACACACACACACACACACACACACACACACACACUAAACCUAGCUGAAAAAUGUAUGCAAGUAAUACAUGCUCACGGUGUAAAAAUGAACACCCCAAAUCAGACUAAACUCCAAACUGGAAACCCUUUGCUCCAACGACAACCCUUUGCUCCAGACCAUAACAACACAACAUCCAAUCAUACACGUUGUUAUGAAGUAACAGCAGAAGUUGCCUUCUACACCAUUAGGACACCUAGUUCAUUUCUCAAAGAUAAUUAAGAUUAAUUUCUUGCAUAUCUUUCCGAAAAUGUUCUUAGGGCAUUGUGUUAGUUAAGGUUCUCUGGGUUUCAGGCCACAAAAAAUAAACUCUGGCUGACUUAAGCCACAAAAAAGAAUUUACUGGAAUGAUGUCGGGGUAUUUUGCGGAAUCAAGGGAGGAUUAAACCCCUUAGCCUUUGGAAAGAGUAGUCUAAAGGAAAGUUAUGAGACACCCCAGCACCAUGUGUCAGACAAUUGCCAUUAAUGUGACUUCGCUACAAAGAAUCCCAGCCUCGGUAUUUCUGUUUUAAAUUUUAAAUAAGACUGGCCAAGCUAGGUUGGACCUGUGAGAUGUAGUAUAGCUGGAUGUCUGGGGGUGAGGAGGUUAGAAGAUGGUCAAAUCUCAUAGUGUAGAAAGUUGGGGAAACUUUCUGGACAGGGUGAAAGGGCACUUGCAAGAUAGCCAUCUCCAUUUGCUCAGAAACAAAGCACGUAUCUACACUGUAUGUGUUUGAAUCUGAAUCUGCUAUCUUUCACUUUUCAAUUAUCUCUGAAGUCAGGAAUGCAUUUUAUGAUUGACUCUGUCUUAGCUUUAACUAAUAGUUUCUACAGACCACUUUUUCUUUCUCUGUGGCUUACAAGGUAGUGAAAUUUCUCCAGCUUAGCAUUCCAGUAACUUCCACACAGGUGGGAAAAAUAGUUUGUUCCCUAGUCAGGUGUUCCUUACAGACAUGUUAGAAUUGUACACCUGGUGCUAUUUUUUAGGAAUUCCUAAAUUGAAAACUGGAGGCUGAAAUCACCUUCAUAGAAAAGCCUUUUAGCUGUUACAAUUAAAUUAAACAUUAUAUAAACACUAUAGAGCUUAUUUGAGGAGCAAAGUACAAUGCUGGGUGCUGUGUGUUAGAAUAAAAUGAAGACAUUGGAAUUGCCUCCAGAUAAUUAUAAAUUGACACCAUGCUUUUGGACUUCUAGCCUUCAGAACUGUGAAAGAAUGAAAUUUUGUUGUUUCUGGAAAUUUGUGACAGCAGCCCUCAGAAACUAACACACCCAAGAAGAGGUCGCUCUCCCUGAGCGAGGCUGUACACUGUGAUGAAAGCACAAAACAUAGUGAAGGUUAUGGGAUUUUCUUUGAGAUCUGGUUUUGGUGGAAGAAGGGUUGGUGGAAGAAGGGCUGUUAUGUAUCUGAAGCUGUGGAUCUUUAGCAAUUUAGUUCAAAUAUAGCCUGAGUUUCUGUUAAAUCCACAGCUGGUGGGAAUUUUCCUUCUGGUCAAGAUGGAUUAAGAACUUUAUUUACCUGUUUAACUGAAAUAAUCAAAACAAUCAGACUGCCAGUUGCGGUGGCUCACACCUAUAAUCCCAGCACUUUGGGAGUCUGAGGCAGGCUGAUCACCUGAAGUCAGGAGUUGGAGACCAGGCUGGCCAAUCUGGUGAGACCCUUGCCCCACCAUCUCUACUAAAAACACAAAAAAUUUUCCGGGCGUGGUGGUGCACUCUUGUAAUCCCAGCUAUUCGGGAGGCUGAGGCAGAAGAAUCGCUUGAACCUGAGAGGUGGAGGUUGCAGUGAGCUGAGAUCACGCCACUGCACUCCAGCCUGGGAAACAGAGUGAGACUCCAUCUCAAAAACAAACAAACAAACAAACAAUCAGACAAAAUACAUGGGUAAAAAAGUUUUUAAGACGUUGGUCACCAAGUGCCACAGAACAAUGAUUCUUGAGCGAUAGCAAAUAAAUGUGGUAAGUCCUAUAAUUGCCACAGCUUACUGCCUUGAGAAACUUUCCAGACUCAUGAGGAGAGAACCAAGGCAGGGCUUGGUGGGCAACCUGGGUAGAGGAGAGAUAGCUGAAAGUCUGGGGAGACCUAGGUAUUCAAACAACAGAGUAUUGGAGGAGAGGAAGAUAUGCAUGAGAAUCAUCCACACAAAUGCAUGUUGCUCUAAUGCAUUAAUUUUCAUUGAAUGCCAUAUGGCCUACUUCAAGAUAGAAUACUUCACAAUAACUCAUCAAAGUUUAGGGCUUCUAUUUGGAAAAUCCUUUGGAAUACACUAUAUAUUUUAAAAUAUCAUUUCUAUUUAAGAUCAUGCAUGAGUCAUUAUCAAAAUGGACAUGUGAAUGACAGAUGCACCUGAGAGCAAUAACUUAAGCAUAUUCUUAGGAGUCCUUCUUAGGAGAAGGACCCUAUGAUCUAAGAAGAAAGUGUGUUCAGAGUCCUGGACUAAUGAAUCCAGCAAUGGCCAACCUGGAGAUCCACUCCUUAUCUAUGAAGGACAUCUGAAUCCCCAAUCCAUCCUUGGAAUGCAGGCCAUACAGGGGAUAGAGGGCCUUUGUUUGGCUUAAAUGGAGGUUGCCAGGUGGAAUUUGCUAAGUGAAAAUGCUAUACGACCUGCAUGCUUUUUACAAAUGGUUGCAGUUCUCUUGUCCAUCCUCUGCCACUGGACUGUCUCCGUAUGUAAGUCCCCUUAAUAAACUCUAUGUCUCAUUUUCUGACCUGGUCUUUUCUUCAGCCUCUCGUACAUGGUGCCAUCCCUAUUGGAAUCGAUAGAGAUCUGGUAUGACAAUGGAAAGCAUUCCUCUAUGCAUGUUCAGUCUCUCACAUCCACUGUAGGACAAAUAGGACUUUGGCUCCCUUCAGUUCUGUCAUCUGAGGAGGGUCAGUCCAGUCCUUCUGGCAGUUGUGAUGGAGAACCAGAGCAUGACCAUAGAAGGAUGGGAUCUGAGAUGUGAGAGGAGAGGGGAAAGGAUUAGCAAAAAAAGCAGCCAACCAAUUGUCAUAAUAAAGUGGUGAAGCAGUGAAGGGCCAGAAGUAAGUAGGAGUCAAUUUCUGGAAGGUAGGAGGGUUAGAGGGAAAUAUUCUUUUGCUAUUUUGAAGAAAGUAUCUUGGAAAACUCUUCUAUGUCUUCUGUGGAUAAAAGUAAAGAGGAAUUUUAAAGUAUUAUUGGAGAUUGUCUGUUCUCUUCAAGAAUUUCAAAAAAUGCAAAUAAAGAAUUUAUUUUGAGG